GCCGAAGUGGCGGAACGGUAUACGCGACGGUCUCAAACACCGUUGGGCAUUGGCCCUUGUGGGUUCGAAUCCCACCUUCGGCAC
rnacentral:tRNA from 1 species